UGGGGAAUUUUGGACAAUGGGCGAAAGCCUGAUCCAGCAAUGCCGCGUAGUGUGAAGAAGGCCUUCGGGUUGUAAAGCACUUUUGUCCGGAAAGAAAUCCUUGGCUCUAAUACAGUCGGGGGAUGACGGUACCGGAAGAAUAAGCACCGGCUAACUACGUGCCAGCAGCCGCGGUAAUACGUAGGGUGCAAGCGUUAAUCGGAAUUACUGGGCGUAAAGCGUGCGCAGGCGGUUUGCUAAGACCGAUGUGAAAUCCCCGGGCUCAACCUGGGAACUGCAUUGGUGACUGGCAGGCUAGAGUAUGGCAGAGGGGGGUAGAAUUCCACGUGUAGCAGUGAAAUGCGUAGAGAUGUGGAGGAAUACCGAUGGCGAAGGCAGCCCCCUGGGCCAAUACUGACGCUCAUGCACGAAAGCGUGGGGAGCAAACAGGAUUAGAUACCCUGGUAGUCCACGCCCUAAACGAUGUCAACUAGUUGUUGGGGAUUCAUUUCCUUAGUAACGUAGCUAACGCGUGAAGUUGACCGCCUGGGGAGUACGGUCGCAAGAUUAAAACUCAAAUGAAUUGACGGGGUC
rnacentral:rRNA from 1 species